CCCGAAUUACCAUAUUUUUUUUUGGCACGUCAACAGACCCGCCGUAUAUAUAGAAAUUUUUCGUGUAUACGAAGCGAUAGCUGUACCUGCAAAAUAAAUAGGAGCUACAACCAAAGUAAAGAGCUGCUAAACUAAAAUAUGUAUAUAUAAAACAUAAAGGGUUCACUGUACGUACAAAAGCCACGAAACAACCUCGCCCCAGCGAGUACAACAAUAUAACGGUAUGUACAUAAAAAC
rnacentral:lncRNA from 1 species